rnacentral:rRNA from 2 species
CAAGGUUCCGUAGGUGAACCUGCGGAAGGAUCAUUA